CUCGCUCGGGGUCCCUCGGCGCGGCGGGCCGGGGCCGCGGGGCCGCCCGCAGGCCGCUCGCUCGGGCGGGUCCUCAGGGCGCGCGGCGUGCUCGGCGGCGCGGGGCGCGUGCGACUGCGCGGGGGAGGCGUGGGCGCCGCGCUCGCCCGGAUGCGCCGGCCCUUCCCCUGCGGCGAGCCCCCCGCGCGCCUGCCGGGGCCUUCGGGGCGGGAGGUUCCGGCGUCGCGCUCGGCUUUCUCUUCCCGCCCGCCCGACCGCUCGAAGCUCGGUGCGGCCUGAGCCGAGAGAUUUCUCCCCUGAACCGUGAACGGACAAAGAGGCUGCCGCAGCAAGUAAAACAAAACUUGGACGGCUUCACGUCGAGCCCCGCAAGCGGGAUCAGAAUCGGGACCUUGUGCUUGCAAGGCAGGUGGCAGAACCACUGAGCUAAAUCCCUGGCCAAAGGAUUAACUGUUUAAAGGCUGAGGGAAGAGCAUGAGCAUGAAGUCUGGGGCAUGGAACAGCAUGUGACAGUGGGACCCCCGGGAGUGAGUAAGAACAAGAGUAACCUCAGAAGAAGCAUGGCAGCACCAUGGCUGGAAAGGUCACCUGACACCAGCAAAUAUGAAACCUGCUCUCUCUACUUCAUGACAGAAUAUGAUGAAAUUUGUAGGCAAAAUGCUUCAGG
ensembl:lncRNA